AACGAACGCUGGCGGCAUGCCUAACACAUGCAAGUCGAACGAUAUCUUCGGGUCUAGUGGCGCACGGGUGAGUAACGCGUGGGAAUCUGCCCUUUGGUUCGGAAUAACAGUUGUAAACGACUGCUAAUACCGGAUGAUGACGAAAGUCCAAAGAUUUAUCGCCAGAGGAGGAGCCCGCGUAGGAUUAGUUAGUUGGUGUGGUAAAGGCUCACCAAGGCGACGAUCCUUAGCUGGUCUGAGAGGAUGAUCAGCCACACUGGGACUGAGACACGGACCAGACUCCUACGGGAGGCUGCAGUGGGGAAUAUUGGACAAGGAGCGAAGGCCUAUUCCAGCAAUGCCGCGGGAGUGAUGAAGGCCUUAGGGUUGUAAAGCUCUUUUGCACGGGAUGAUAAUGACAGUACCGGGAGAAUAAGCUCCGGCUAACUCCGUGCCAGCCGCCGCGGUAA
rnacentral:rRNA from 1 species